AUUGAACGCUGGCGGCAUGCCUUACACAUGCAAGUCGAACGGUAACAGGUUAAGCUGACGAGUGGCGAACGGGUGAGUAAUAUAUCGGAACGUGCCCAGUCGUGGGGGAUAACUGCUCGAAAGAGCAGCUAAUACCGCAUACGACCUGAGGGUGAAAGCGGGGGAUCGUAAGACCUCGCGCGAUUGGAGCGGCCGAUAUCAGAUUAGGUAGUUGGUGGGGUAAAGGCCCACCAAGCCAACGAUCUGUAGCUGGUCUGAGAGGACGACCAGCCACACUGGGACUGAGACACGGCCCAGACUCCUACGGGAGGCAGCAGUGGGGAAUUUUGGACAAUGGGCGCAAGCCUGAUCCAGCCAUGCCGCGUGCGGGAAGAAGGCCUUCGGGUUGUAAACCGCUUUUGUCAGGGAAGAAAAGGUUCUGGUUAAUACCUGGGACUCAUGACGGUACCUGAAGAAUAAGCACCGGCUAACUACGUGCCAGCAGCCGCCGUAACAC
rnacentral:rRNA from 1 species